rnacentral:lncRNA from 1 species
UUGCCAAAAAGGACAUAAAUGUUAAUUUACACACUUAGGGAGAAAGUUACAUAGAAAAAUAAGGACGGGUCGUCACAUUAAUCAGACCAAAGAAAAAAAAUUUCCUAUCUUGUAGUGCAAUAUGAUAAAAUUAAAGCUUCGUAACCCAUUUUGAAAAUUACCUCAAAUUUGAAGGUUGUAAAAUAUAGUUAACUCAUAGAGUAAUGUUAGGAGAUGAAAUUUUUAAAACCAAAUAUGCAAUCAUGUGAUGUGUCAUUAAUAAGAAAUAACCACGUUAAUCAACACUUAAGUAAUAAUCUAAUCAUCAACAACCACAAUAUAUGACUUCCAAAAUUUAAUCUAAAUAGUUUUUUUUUGUUGUUUUUUUUGUUUUUUUAUGUCAACCGAUAGAUUUUGUUAGAUUAGGUGUUACAUUAACCACUGAUGAGGGUUCAAACUCACACUGUUAUGUAAGACCUCAACUCAUUUCUACCAUUAUGAUAAAGGGUCACUUGCAUUCAGUGUUUAAAAUGUCGGUAUGGGUGGAAAUAUUGAUAGGCAAAUUUGUUGAAAUAACAAU